rnacentral:rRNA from 1 species
GUACACUCCUGCGGGAGGCAGCAGUGGGGAAUAUUGAACAAUGGGCGCAAGCCUGAUCCAGCCAUGCCGCGUGAGUGAUGAAGGCCCUAGGGUUGUAAAGCUCUUUCACCGGUGAAGAUAAUGACGGUAACCGGAGAAGAAGCCCCGGCUAACUUCGUGCCAGCAGCCGCGGUAAUACGAAGGGGGCUAGCGUUGUUCGGAUUUACUGGGCGUAAAGCGCACGUAGGCGGACUAUUAAGUCAGGGGUGAAAUCCCGGGGCUCAACCCCGGAACUGCCUUUGAUACUGGUAGUCUUGAGUUCGAGAGAGGUGAGUGGAAUUCCGAGUGUAGAGGUGAAAUUCGUAGAUAUUCGGAGGAACACCAGUGGCGAAGGCGGCUCACUGGCUCGAUACUGACGCUGAGGUGUGAAAGCGUGGGGAGCAAACAGGAUUAGAAACCCCUGUAGUCCCA